AUACGGAGGGAGCAAGCGUUAUUCGGAAUUACUGGGCGUAAAGGGUGCGUAGGCGGCUUGAUAAGUCGGAUGUGAAAGCCCCGGGCUUAACCUGGGAAUUGCAUUCGAUACUGUCAGGCUAGAGUAUGUCAGAGGUUGGCGGAAUUCCUGGUGUAGCGGUGAAAUGCGUAGAUAUCAGGAGGAACACCAGUGGCGAAGGCGGCUAACUGGGGCAAUACUGACGCUGAGGCACGAAAGCGUGGGGAGCAAACAGGAUUAGAUACCCUAGUAGUCC
rnacentral:rRNA from 1 species